rnacentral:rRNA from 1 species
GAUGAACGCUGGCGGCGUGCCUAAUACAUGCAAGUCGAGCGAACGGACGAGAAGCUUGCUUCUCUGAUGUUAGCGGCGGACGGGUGAGUAACACGUGGAUAACCUACCUAUAAGACUGGGAUAACUUCGGGAAACCGGAGCUAAUACCGGAUAAUAUUUUGAACCGCAUGGUUCAAAAGUGAAAGACGGUCUUGCUGUCACUUAUAGAUGGAUCCGCGCUGCAUUAGCUAGUUGGUAAGGUAACGGCUUACCAAGGCAACGAUGCAUAGCCGACCUGAGAGGGUGAUCGGCCACACUGGAACUGAGACACGGUCCAGACGCCUACGGGAGGCAGCAGUAGGGAAUCUUCCGCAAUGGGCGAAAGCCUGACGGAGCAACGCCGCGUGAGUGAUGAAGGUCUUCGGAUCGUAAAACUCUGUUAUUAGGGAAGAACAUAUGUGGAAGUAACUGUGCACAUCGUGACGGUACCUAAUCAGAAAGCCACGGCUAACUACGUG